rnacentral:rRNA from 1 species
UACGUAGGGGGGCUAGCGUUGUCCGGAAUCAUUGGGCGUAAAGCGCGUGUAGGCGGUCCGGUAAGUCCGCUGUGAAAGUCGAGGGCUCAACCCUCGAAUGCCGGUGGAUACUGUCGGGCUUGAGUACGGGAGAGGCGAGUGGAAUUCCUGGUGUAGCGGUGAAAAUGCGCAGAUAUCAGGAGGAACACCGAUUGCGAAGGCAGCUCGCUGGAACGUUACUGACGCCGAGACGCGGAAGCGUGGGGAGCAAACAGG